CAGUCGCCGCGGUAAUACGAAGGGUGCAAGCGUUAAUCGGAAUUACUGGGCGUAAAGCAUGCGUAGGCGGUGAGUUAAGUCUGCUGUGAAAUCCCCGGGCUCAACCUGGGAAUGGCAGUGGAUACUGGCUCGCUAGAGUGUGUCAGAGGAUGGUGGAAUUCCCGGUGUAGCGGUGAAAUGCGUAGAGAUCGGGAGGAACAUCAGUGGCGAAGGCGGCCAUCUGGGACAACACUGACGCUGAGGCACGAAAGCGUGGGGAGCAAACAGGAUUAGAUACCCCGGUAGUCCCUGUCUCUUAUAC
rnacentral:rRNA from 1 species